GGUCUCCUUUAGCAGCACAUAUAAUAAAAUUGGAAUAAUACAGAGAAGUUUAGCAUUGCCUCUGUGCAAGGAUGACAUACAUAUCUGUGAGCAUUCUGAAUUUUUC
ensembl:snRNA U6 U6 spliceosomal RNA